CCCUUAGACACUCUAGGCGGCACGCGCGCUACAAUGGGUGGAAGAACGUGUUACUGCCUCCGAAAGGAGGGGUGAAUCACGAAUUCUUGCCCGUGAAUGGGAUAGUUUGUUGCAAUUUUCGGACUUGAACUAGGAAUCCCUUGUAAACAUGCUCAAGAAUAGCGUGUUGGAUACGUCCCUGCCGUUUGUACACACCGCCCGUCGUUUCUUCCGACUGAUACUCAUUGUGAGUUGCAAGGACCCUUUAUUGGGAAAUUGCUGCAAAUGCUUUGUAUUGGAGGAAGAAAAAGUCGUAACA
rnacentral:rRNA from 1 species